UACGUAGGGUGCGAGCGUUGUCCGGAAUUAUUGGGCGUAAAGAGCUCGUAGGCGGUGUGUCACGGUCGUUUCGUGAAAACCUGCAGCUUAACGUGUGGGCGUGCGGUCGAUACGGGCAUCACUGGAGUUCGGCAGGGGGAGACUGGAAUUCCUGGUGUAGCGGUGAAAUGCGCAGAUAUCAGGAGGAACACCGGUGGCGAAGGCGGGUCUCUGGGCCGAUACUGACACUGAGAGCACGAAGGCCAGGGGAGCAAACGGGG
rnacentral:rRNA from 1 species